AUUGAACGCUGGCGGCAUGCCUUACACAUGCAAGUCGAACGGCAGCACGGGUGCUUGCACCUGGUGGCGAGUGGCGAACGGGUGAGUAAUAUAUCGGAACGUACCUUAUUGUGGGGGAUAACGCAGCGAAAGCUGUGCUAAUACCGCAUAAUCCCUAAGGGGGAAAGCAGGGGACCGUAAGGCCUCGCGCAAUUAAAGCGGCCGAUACCUGAUUAGCUAGUUGGUGAGGUAAAGGCUCACCAAGGCAACGAUCAGUAGCUGGUCUGAGAGGACGAUCAGCCACACUGGGACUGAGACACGGCCCAGACUCCUACGGGAGGCAGCAGUGGGGAAUUUUGGACAAUGGGGGCAACCCUGAUCCAGCAAUGCCGCGUGAGUGAAGAAGGCCUUCGGGUUGUAAAGCUCUUUUGUCAGGGAAGAAACAGCAGCUCUAACACAGUUUGCGAAUGACGGUACCUGAAGAAUAAGCACCGGCUAACUACGUGCCAGCCGCCGCAGUAA
rnacentral:rRNA from 1 species